ACACAUCAACGUACACAAGUUUUCUAUGACUACUUGCUCUGCUGCUUGGAUGUUGAAGGCUUUGCUGGCAGUCAACCAUUGUCAGCUCCUUUUAAAUUCAUUAGCAGGAACUAUGCAAAACUGGCUUCAGUUUGAUAAGAUUGAACUGCUGCCAAAGAUGCGGUUGUUUUCCAGCUUCUAACUGUCCAGUGCAUUAACUGGACUGUCUCAUUCUUGAGGCAAAUCAAUGACA
rnacentral:misc_RNA from 1 species